rnacentral:rRNA from 1 species
GACGAACGCUGGCGGCGUGCUUAACACAUGCAAGUCGAACGGAAAGGCCCUGCUUUUGUGGGGUGCUCAAGUGGCGAACGGGUGAGUAACACGUGAGUAACCUGCCCUUGACUUUGGGAUAACUUCAGGAAACUGGGGCUAAUACCGGAUAGGAGCUCCUGCUGCAUGGUGGGGGUUGGAAAGUUUCGGCGGUUGGGGAUGGACUCGCGGCUUAUCAGCUUGCUGGUGGGGUAGUGGCUUACCAAGGCUUUGACGGGUAGCCGGCCUGAGGGGGUGACCGGCACAAUGGGACUGAGGAACCGGCCAAACCUCUUCGGGAGGGAGGAGGGGGGGAUUAUGAAAAAAUGGGCGAAGGCUGAUGCAAGCAACCCGGGGUGGGGAAUACGGCCCUCGGGUUGUAAACCGCUUUCGCCUGUGACGAAGCGUGAGUGACGGUAAUGGGUAAAGAAGCACCGGCUAACUACGUG